GACUGACUGAAAUCCAAGAUUGAAUUAUAGUCCACAAACAGCAUUCUUACACAUAUUUAUUUUAUCCAGCUCAAAGUCUACAGCAGUUUUUGCAUACAGAGGGUGUUUUGCAUGAGCAGCACAAGCUUCACUGCUCUGCAUGUGUUUAUAUCUCUAUGAACUGAACAUGACAUGAUCAAGAGCUCUUCUUCAUCAACCAACAAACAUGACUUUCAGCAUCAUCUUUGUCUGGACUCUGGCAAUGUUUUUUUAAGAAUCCAUUGGGCAGGUGACAGUGACUCAAACUCCCUCACAGCUGCUCGCUCAAACAGGACAACAAGUCAAAAUAAAGUGUACAACUAGCAGUGCUACUCCCUGCUGUUGUGGUGGUACUGCAUGUCU